AAAGCAUGGGGAGCGAACAGGAUUAGAUACCCUGGUAGUCCAUGCCGUAAACGUUGGGCACUAGGUGUGGGGACCAUUCCACGGUUUCCGCGCCGCAGCUAACGCAUUAAGUGCCCCGCCUGGGGAGUACGGCCGCAAGGCUAAAACUCAAAGGAAUUGACGGGGGCCCGCACAAGCGGCGGAGCAUGCGGAUUAAUUCGAUGCAACGCGAAGAACCUUACCAAGGCUUGACAUGUUCUCGAUCGCCGUAGAGAUACGGUUUCCCCUUUGGGGCGGGAUCACAGGUGGUGCAUGGUUGUCGUCAGCUCGUGUCGUGAGAUGUUGGGUUAAGUCCCGCAACGAGCGCAACCCUCGUUCCAUGUUGCCAGCACGUAAUGGUGGGGACUCAUGGGAGACUGCCGGGGUCAACUCGGAGGAAGGUGGGGACGACGUCAAAUCAUCAUGCCCCUUAUGUCUUGGGCUUCACGCAUGCUACAAUGGCCGGUACAAUGGGUUGCGAUACUGUGAGGUGGAGCUAAUCCCAAAAAGCCGGUCUCAGUUCGGAUUGGGGUCUGCAACUCGACCCCAUGAAGUCGGAGUCGCUAGUAAUCGCAGAUCAGCAACGCUGCGGUGAAUACGUUCCCGGGC
rnacentral:rRNA from 1 species